rnacentral:rRNA from 1 species
UACGUAGGUGGCAAGCGUUGUCCGGAUUUACUGGGCGUAAAGAGCGCGCAGGCGGUCGGAUAAGUCGAAUGUGAAAGCCCCCGGCUCAACUGGGGAGGGUCAUUCGAUACUGUUCGACUCGAAGGCAGGAGAGGGAAGUGGAAUUCCCGGUGUAGUGGUGAAAUGCGUAGAGAUCGUGAGGAAGACCAGUGGCGAAGGCGGGUCUCUGGACAGUUCCUGACACUGAGGCACGAAGGCCAGGGGAGCAAACGGG